CACGUAGGGCGCAAGCGUUGUCCGGAAUUAUUGGGCGUAAAGAGCUCGUAGGCGGCUUGUCGCGUCGACUGUGAAAUCCCGCGGCUCAACCGCGGGUCUGCAGUCGAUACGGGCAGGCUAGAGUUCGGUAGGGGAGACUGGAAUUCCUGGUGUAGCGGUGAAAUGCGCAGAUAUCAGGAGGAACACCGAUGGCGAAGGCAGGUCUCUGGGCCGAUACUGACGCUGAGGAGCGAAAGCGUGGGGAGCGAACAGG
rnacentral:rRNA from 1 species